CGAGGGGCAGCGCGGGAUAGCAAUAUCCUGGCGGCGACCGGCGGAAGGGUGCGUAACGCGUGAGCGACAUGCCCGUUGCCCGGGGACAACCGGUGGAAACGCCGACUAAUCCCCGAUGGGAUACGAUGCUUCAUGGCAUUGUAUUGAAAGUUACGGCGGCGACGGAUUGGCUCGCGUCCGAUUAGCUUGUUGGCGGGGUAACGGCCCACCAAGGCUACGAUCGGUAGGGGUUCUGAGAGGAAGGCCCCCCACAAUGGGACUGAGACACGGCCCAUACUCCUACGGGAGGCAGCAGUGAGGAAUAUUGGUCAAUGGGCGGAAGCCUGAACCAGCCAUGCCGCGUGCGGGAAGGAGGCCCUAUGGGCUGUGAACCGCUUUUGCCUGGGGGCAAUAAGGGCGACGCGCACGUCCGAUGAGAGUACCAGGCGAAUAAGCAUCGGCUAACUCCGUGCCAGCAGCCGCGGUAAUACGGGGGAUGCGAGCGUUAUCCGGAUUCAUUGGGUUUAAAGGGUGCGUAGGCUGUGCGUCAAGUCGGGGGUGAAAUUCCGGUGCUCAAGACCGGGGCUGCCCUUGAUACUGUCGCGCUGGAGUGCGGAUGCCGCCGGAGGAAUGAGUGGUGUAGCGGUGAAAUGCUUAGAUAUCACUCAGAACACCGAUUGCGAAGGCAUCUGGCGAAUCCGUAACUGACGCUGAGGCACGAAAGCGUGGGGAUAGAACAGGAUUAGAUACCCUGGUAUUCCACGCCGUAAACGAUGAUGGCUAACCGCCGGCGACACACUGUCGGUGGCCAAGCGAAAGCGAUAAGCCAUCCACCUGGGGAGUACGUCGGCAACGAUGAAACUCAAAGGAAUUGACGGGGGCCCGCACAAGCGGAGGAACAUGUGGUUUAAUUCGAUGAUACGCGAGGAACCUUACCCGGGCUCGAACGGCACCUGGAUCGCCCAGAGAUGGGCGAGUCUUCGGACAGGUGUCGAGGUGCUGCAUGGUUGUCGUCAGCUCGUGCCGUGAGGUGUCGGCUCAAGUGCCAUAACGAGCGCAACCCUUGCCGCCAGUUGCCAUCAGGUGAUGCUGGGCACU
rnacentral:rRNA from 1 species